rnacentral:rRNA from 1 species
ACGGGGGGUGCAAGCGUUGUUCGGAAUUAUUGGGCGUAAAGAGCGUGUAGGCGGCUGGAUAAGUCAGAUGUGAAAUCCCUGGGCUUAACCCAGGACGUGCAUUUGAAACUGUCCAGCUUGAGUAAGGGAGAGGAAAGUGGAAUUCCUGGUGUAGAGGUGAAAUUCGUAGAUAUCAGGAGGAAACCCGGGGUCGAGGGCGACAUUCUGGCCCUAAACUGACUGUGAGACGCGAGAGCGUGGGUAAGGAGCUG